CUUGGCCUCCCAAAGUGCUGGGAUUACAGGCUUGGACCACCACAUCCAGCCCAAAGAAAUUUAAUUUAAAAAGUUGUUUCUGAUGGUGGUUUAUUUUCUUAGUGGGCUGUAAGAUAUAUUACCUGCUUUUAAUCAUAAACAAGCAAUAAAAAACUAUUUGAAAUAUCAUUUCCAAAAGUAGGUUUUAUUUCUCUUAUGAACAAUUAAAGCAGAGCUGCCACUACUCAUUCAACAUAAUUAUAUAAAUUAGAAAAGGGAGCCCCUUCUCAAACAGGAUACUUUGUAGUAAUUUAGAUAAUGUGCUGCAUGGACCCAGGCAAGAGGCUUUUAAGUUCAGCAAUAAAUUCCUUAAAUAAUCAGAUAACACAGUAUCUAAUAGCAAGCCUCAUAGAAUCACUGAACUCACAUCUCAGCCGAGGCAUUAGGAAUAACAUAUUCUAACUACUUAAUUUUACAAAUAAAGAAACUAAAAAUCACAGCUGUUAUGAGACUUUCUCAAGGCAGCCACCUAGUUAACACUAGAGCUGAGACAGGAAUCUUCAUCUUGAAUUCCUAGACCUGAGUUUAUUUCUCCGUUUCACAACAAGAGUAAACAACAGGUGUUUUCAACUCAGCAGGUCACAGGGGUUCACUUAUUUCAAUUUCUAGGGGAUUUUAUUGAAAAUUGUUAUCACUGAGUUUUUAUUUGUUUAUGCCAAUUUUCAGCUUUCGUAAAGGGCCAAAUCUAGGUUGUUGACACUAGACUAACCUUUCUCUCAUCCCAAAUUCCUCCAGCUAAAUUGUGUGCAUCAUACUGAUUCAGUAAAAAUAAGUCUCAUCAUUAUUUAACUCUUAUGUCCAUUUGUGUACUUGUGCAAAUUCUGAUGAGAUAGUUUUGUAAAAACAAAAUGUAAAUGAUCCAUAUCUCAAAGCCUAACCUACAUAGUAGCAAUGCUAUUUUUUCUCUAUGGGAUACUUUCCCAGAGCUGCAGGCCAGUGUGGGGGAUAAGAGCGAGGCAUGGCAUCAGAAAUGUGCUAUUUGAUAAUUCCCUGAAUGCUCCUGAACUUAAUUUCCACAUUUAUAUACUGAUGAUUAUAGAAGCACAUUGAGGGCAGUAAUUGUGAUUAAGGAGGUUAUCAUUUGCUGGCUUGAAUUUUACUAUCUACACGGAAAGGACCCCUUCCUCCACGCUCAGGUUCCUGUUUGGCUGCCUCCACCUCAACUUCUAUUUCUCUAGCCCCCAUUUUCCAUUCCAUCCUCUGUUUCUCAUUCCUACUUUCUUAAAUGGUCAAUAGAUAAGUAAGAGAAACACGUGAUAAAGAAAAAGGAGCUGGGUGGGGAGGGUGGGGUGGGGGUGAGAGGUGCAGGGGGAAUGUCAGUGUACAGUCAGUUCAAGGAGUUGCCAGUGUAUGGGACUUUGAAAAAAAAAAUGUGAUUUUAGGCUACAUUAAUGGAGUUGCAUACCAAGAACAAAGAGGUGAUAAUUCUAUACUAUGCUAGAAUUGUUAGGAUCUGAGGGCCGUAUUUCAGGAAGAAUGGUACCAAAUUGAGUUGCUUCCGGAGAGGGGUAAAUAGGCUGGCAAGGCUAUUAAAACCAUGUCAAAUGGGAGCAUCAAAGGCCAUGAGUGAUGUGGUCCUUGGAGAAUAGACUCAUCUCACAAGGACACAGUAGUUCAUCUUAAAAUUGUUUAAAACAAAGAACUAGUCCAUACAAUUUUUGUAGACGUCAAGACCUUUAAUU